rnacentral:misc_RNA from 1 species
UAAAGUGCGAAAUGUAAUGCGAAUUGCAUGCUCUGCGAGUCAUCUAAUCUUUGAACGCAAAUGGCACUGUCAUGUCGAGUGACAGUAUGCCUGUUUGAGAACCACAUAAUCAAUCACCAUUAGUUAAUGGUGUCGUUGUCCUUGACUGUUUGUCUUGGAUUGAAUGCAUGUGCGACGACCAGUGAGGCGUAGUGUGAUAAUCACAUCAUUGCGCCGAGCUGACCAAGUUGUCGCAGCACCUCGUACUGACGUACACUUUAUAUAUAACAUGGUCUCAAAUCAGGCAAGGCUACCCGCUGAACUUAA